GCGAGGGUGUUGCGGAGUUCAGGAUAUUCUAUGCUUUUCACACAUCAAAGAUCAUCAUUGCUAAUCAAACACUUGUUGCAUGACUAUUCUAUGCUUUUCACACAUCAAAGAUCAUCAUUGCUGCUUUACAGUUUGAAAAAAACAGAUCUAUGCUGUGUUGCUCGAGAGUGACUUUCAUCUUGGCUGUAUUAAUGAAGAGAGCGACUCAGCUAGCGGCCGCACUGUAGCAGAAAGCAGACUUUGCUUUAUACAUUUUUUCAAGCAUUCUUUCUGCUGUUUGGUGGAAUUUAUAUGUAGAGACCGCUCAACAGAGAGAAAUGAAACAUAAUCAUUAUUAAUUUCUCUAGUUUUUCCGCAGAUUUGAUGUCUUGCGUCGAUAACUAUGGAGGCCUUCUUGACAUUUACAGUGAGCAUUAUGAUUGGGGGUGUAAAUAUCUCGUAUGCAAACUAGAAGGCCUGAAGAAACUGCUGGUUCUGAUAGAGCUCCAAUGGCAAAUAAUCACAUGAAAUUUAAUUCUUUGUCCUGUUGUACACUCUUUGCAAACGAAUUGGGCAAUCUACGAUAUUUGCAGAUUACCUUAUGCCUACUUAGAAGAGUGUUAAGUCUGAGGCCAACUGGGCAUCGGCUCAGCUUGGGGUUCAGGGUGAGGUUGCUUGCAACACUGUCUGAAAAAGGGAAGGAAAUACUAUGCAGUUUGUAGUAGUUGAAGAAGCAGUGAUACUCUCUGGAUCACCAGUUAUGAUUUGUUAAGAAUUAGCAGUUAUUGGUUGAA